rnacentral:rRNA from 1 species
ACGGGAGGCAGCAGUGGGGAAUAUUGGGCAAUGGGCGAAAGCCUGACCCAGCAACGCCGCGUGAAGGAAGAAGGUCUUCGGAUUGUAAACUUCUUUUAUGAGGGACGAAGGACGUGACGGUACCUCAUGAAUAAGCCACGGCUAACUACGUGCCAGCAGCCGCGGUAAUACGUAGGUGGCAAGCGUUAUCCGGAUUUACUGGGUGUAAAGGGUGCGUAGGCGGUAAAGCAAGUUAGAUGUGAAACCUCAGGGCUUAACCCUGAGCAUGCAUCUAAAACUACUGGACUAGAGUAUAGGAGAGGAAAGCGGAAUUCCUGGUGUAGCGGUGAAAUGCGUAGAUAUCAGGAAGAACACCGGCGGCGAAGGCGGCUUUCUGGACUAAAACUGACGCUGAGGCACGAAAGCGUGGGGAGCAAACAGGAUUAGAUACCCUGGUA